rnacentral:rRNA from 1 species
AACGAACGCUGGCGGCAUGCCUAACACAUGCAAGUCGAACGAGAUCUUCGGGUCUAGUGGCGCACGGGUGCGUAACGCGUGGGAAUCUGCCCUUGGGUUCGGAAUAACUUCGGGAAACUGAAGCUAAUACCGGAUGAUGACGUAAGUCCAAAGAUUUAUCGCCCAAGGAUGAGCCCGCGUAGGAUUAGCUAGUUGGUGAGGUAAAGGCUCACCAAGGCGACGAUCCUUAGCUGGUCUGAGAGGAUGAUCAGCCACACUGGGACUGAGACACGGCCCAGACUCCUACGGGAGGCAGCAGUGGGAAUAUUGGACAAUGGGCGAAAGCCUGAUCCAGCAAUGCCGCGUGAGUGAUGAAGGCCUUAGGGUUGUAAAGCUCUUUACCCGGGAUGAUAAUGACAGUACCGGGAGAAUAAGCUCCGGCUAACUCCGUGCCAGCAGCCGCGGUAAUGUGACUACUG